UGCAGUCGAGCGGACAGAAGGGAUGACUUGCUCCCGGAUGUUAGCGGCGGACGGGUGAGUAACACGUGGGUAACCUGCCUGUAAGACUGGGAUAACUCCGGGAAACCGGAGCUAAUACCGGAUAGUUCCUUGAACCGCAUGGUUCAAGGAUGAAAGACGGUUUCGGCUGUCACUUACAGAUGGACCCGCGGCGCAUUAGCUAGUUGGUGGGGUAAUGGCUCACCAAGGCGACGAUGCGUAGCCGACCUGAGAGGGUGAUCGGCCACACUGGGACUGAGACACGGCCCAGACUCCUACGGGAGGCAGCAGUAGGGAAUCUUCCGCAAUGGACGAAAGUCUGACGGAGCAACGCCGCGUGAGUGAUGAAGGUUUUCGGAUCGUAAAGCUCUGUUGUUAGGGAAGAACAAGUGCGAGAGUAACUGCUCGCACCUUGACGGUACCUAACCAGAAAGCCACGGCUAACUACGUGCCAGCAGCCGCGGUAAUACGUAGGUGGCAAGCGUUGUCCGGAAUUAUUGGGCGUAAAGGGCUCGCAGGCGGUUUCUUAAGUCUGAUGUGAAAGCCCCCGGCUCAACCGGGGAGGGUCAUUGGAAACUGGGAAACUUGAGUGCAGAAGAGGAGAGUGGGAAUUCCACGUGUACGGUGAAAUGCGUAGAGAUGUGGAGGAACACCAGUGGCGAAAGCGACUCUCUGGUCUGUAACUGACACUGAGGAGCGAAAGCGUGGGGAGCGAACAGGAUUAAUACCCUGGUAGUCCACGCCCUAACAAUGAGUGCUGUUGUUAGGGGUUUCCUCCCCCUAUGG
rnacentral:rRNA from 1 species